GAUGGCACACGUUCCCAGGGUUACAGUCUGCCUGCUGCUGGUUCCUCAUUAUGGUUCAGGCCCACUACCACAGCUUGCCCUUCAAACGCUGGUUUCUUUUCCGCUCACCCCGGAAAUGCCAAGAUCGGAUUUUCAAAGUUGCAGCCGAGGACGCACAAAAUGGAUCAGUGUGCGUCAACCGAAUGCGUGAAGGGGAGGCGAAGAGAGAGAGAACGAAUGCCAUGAGUCCAAUCUGCUCCACAGCAGUCGGGACAUUGCGUCCUGGGCCCGCAGACAAACCCUCACUCUCACAUCCGGCCCGAUCGCCCGGCCGCCGCACUUUGAAACGACCACUGAAGCGCUCGGCUCCGCG
ensembl:lncRNA